rnacentral:rRNA from 1 species
CACCUGUCGGUCGCUCCGGUGUGUACUGGUCGACUGGACCUUACCUCUUGGUGAGCCGUCAUGCCGUUUAUUCGGUGUGGCGGGGAACCAGGACUUUUACUUUGAAAAAAUUAGAGUGUUCAAAGCAGGCCUAUGCCCGAAUACAUUAGCAUGGAAUAAUAGAAUAGGACGUGCGGUUCUAUUUUGUUGGUUUCUAGGAUCGCCGUAAUGAUUAAUAGGGAUAGUUGGGA